rnacentral:rRNA from 1 species
UACGAAGGGGCUAGCGUUGCUCGGAAUCACUGGGCGUAAAGGGCGCGUAGGCGGACUUUUAAGUCGGGGGUGAAAGCCCAGGGCUCAACCCUGGAAUUGCCUUCGAUACUGAAAGUCUCGAGACCGGAAGAGGUAAGUGGAACUGCGAGUGUAGAGGUGAAAUUCGUAGAUAUUAGGAAGAACACAGUGGCGAAAGGCGGCUCACUGGCCGGUACUGACGCUGAGGCGCGAAAGCGUGGGGAGCAAACGG